GUGCUCGCUUAGGCAGCGCAUGUGCUAAAAUUGGAGCAAUACAGAGAAGAUUCGCAUGGUCCCUGCCAAGAUGACACACACAUUCAUGAAUAUAUAUUUAUAUAA